AGGACGAACGCUGGCGGCGUGCUUAACACAUGCAAGUCGAGCGGAAAGGCCCUUCGGGGUACUCGAGCGGCGAACGGGUGAGUAACACGUGAGUAAUCUGCCCCUAGCUCUGGGAUAGCUCCGGGAAACCGGGAUUAAUACCAGAUACGACCACUUUAGACAUCUGUUGUGGUGGAAAGAAUUUCGGCUAGGGAUGAGCUCGCGGCCUAUCAGCUUGUUGGUGAGGUAACGCUCACCAAGGCGACGACGGGU
rnacentral:rRNA from 1 species